CUAACUCAGUUGGUUAGAGUGUCAGACUGUUAAUCUGGAAGUCGUGUGUUCGAUUCUUCAUCGA